UACGGAGGGUGCAAGCGUUGCUCGGAAUUAUUGGGCGUAAAGGGCAAGUAGGUGGUCUCAUUUGUCAGGGGUGAAAGCCUUGGGCUUAACUCAAGAAGUGCCCCUGAAACGGUGAGACUAGAGUGCUGGAGAGGGUCGUGGAAUUCCCGGUGUAGCGGUGAAAUGCGUAGAUAUCAAGAGGAACACCAGUGGCGAAGGCGAGUCCCUGGACAACUUCUGACGCUGAGGCACGAAAGCUAGGGGAGCAAACAGG
rnacentral:rRNA from 1 species